UACGGAGGGUGCAAGCGUUAUCCGGAUUCACUGGGUUUAAAGGGUGCGUAGGUGGAAUGGUAAGUCAGUGGUGAAAUCUCCAAGCUUAACUUGGAACUGCCGUUGAUACUAUCAUUCUUGAAUAUCGUGGAGGUGAGCGGAAUAUGUCAAUGUAGCGGUGAAAUGCUUUAGAUAUGACAUAGAACACCGAUUGCGAAGGCAGCUCACUACGCAAUUAUUGACACUGAGGCACGAAAAGCGUGGGGGAUCAAAACAGG
rnacentral:rRNA from 1 species